rnacentral:rRNA from 1 species
CCUACGGGUGGCAGCAGUGGGGAAUAUUGGACAAUGGGCGAAAGCCUGAUCCAGCCAUGCCGCGUGUGUGAAGAAGGCCUUCGGGUUGUAAAGCACUUUCAGUGGGGAAGAAAGCCUUGGGGCUAAUACCCUCGAGGAAGGACAUCACCCACAGAAGAAGCACCGGCUAACUCCGUGCCAGCAGCCGCGGUAAUACGGAGGGUGCGAGCGUUAAUCGGAAUUACGGGGCGUAAAGCGCGCGUAGGCGGUCUGAUAAGCCGGUUGUGAAAGCCCCGGGCUCAACCUGGGAACGGCAUCCGGAACUGUCAGGCUAGAGUGCAGGAGAGGAAGGUAGAAGUCCCGGUGUAGCGGUGAAAUGCGUAGAGAUCGGGAGGAAUACCAGUGGCGAAGGCGGCCUUCUGGACUGACACUGACGCUGAGGUGCGAAAGCGUGGGUAGCAAACAGGAUUAGAUACCCCAGUAGUC